CGCCGGCGAAGGAGCAACAUCUGAACACAGCGAAGCCGGGAGAGGAGAGAUUGAGAUCGGAAGGGUGGCUGCAACCCCCUCGGUGCAGCUUGGCCCAUGGCGGUGGAAGGGGAUGUUAUACAAACAUGGCCGCCAGGACGACAAUGUGCGAGACGCGGAACACUGUUUUCUUCAUUUUUUCACGGGACGAGAAUAACGAAAUUAAGUUGUUACAAACGAUGUAGCGGAGGGAUCGCUGAUAGAUAGCCCGUGAUAAGGGAUUGGUCACGGCUGUGUAAUUUAUCCUGUCCGGAGGCGAAGGCGAAAACGCAUGACGGGCAACGAUGUGUAUUUUUAUGCCGCAGGAGUCGUUAAACAGUCGUCCGUCCGUUUGCGACAAAUGGUAACAGGUUCCAGCCAUUAAUCAGUUUCCUGCUAACGAUGCGACUGGAAUCGCGGGACUUCUUUCUUUUUACCUCAGCUUAAAAGCUCCUUUUAAUGUUGAUUGGGCUCGGCAAAGAUAUCUUCCGAGGACGCCAGGCGACAUAAUAAAUAUUUUUUUCAUUUUGGUCUUAUCCUUUUUUAUCCCUCUUUUCUAAUUGGAACGAAAUUGAUGUAUUUUAUUACAAUUCCUCCUCUCUCUUCCAUUUUUGCUUUUAUGUUAAUCCAUUUAUUGCGUUUUGCGUUGGUAUUUCGUCCUGUCCACGGGUCCGUUCAUCAGGACUUCUAGAAGCUAGAAUCAUACUAAGUUCAGCAAUAAUAUCAAAUAAAGUGUUUAUUCGAAUGUAUGUAUAAUUUUUUUAAAGAUAUUUGCUCACGGUGCUGAUGUCAGGUCA